CAAGCGGGGGGUAUCCAGCCUGUCGUCAUGGCACCAGCUCCGGAGGAUAACAUGGUCAGAGCUAUAAUUGCGACGUUUUUCUGCUUCUGGCCGAUUGGGAUGUUCGCAAUAUGGAAAGCUAUGGAAUCGAAGUCCGCUUACAACCGAGGGGACAUGGCGAUGGCCCAUGCUAACGCUAACUCUGCCAGACAACUCUCCAAUGUGGCCAUUGGGUUUGGCGCUUGCACCAUAAUUGCCGUCUUCAUCUACAUUAUUGUGUUGUACUCUGUGAUAAUAUAGGUGUGAUAUACGUCACAAAGACACGUAAUCAUAUAUUGUGAGCGCUAGUCAACCCGUCACAAAGACACGUAAUCAUAUAUUGUGAGCGCUAGUCAACCACACGUAUAUAAUGGCGUGUAUAUUUUUAUUCUACAUUUCAUAAUUAAGAUAAUCUGUCCGUGAUUAUGUGUUAUUCAGAUAAUCUGUCCGUGAUUAUAUGUUUUCAGAUAAUCUGUCCGUGAUUAUGUGUUAUUCUGAUAAUCUGUCCGUGAUUAUAUGUUUUCAGAUAAUCUGUCCGUGAUUAUGUGUUAUUCAGAUAAUCUGUCCGUGGUUAUGUGUUAUUCUGAUAAUCUGUCCGUGAUUAUAUGUUUUCAGAUAAUCUGUCCGUGAUUAUGUGGUAUUCAGAUAAUCUGUCUGUGAUUAUGUGUUAUUCAGAUAAUCUGUCCGUGAUUAUGUGUUAUUCAUAUAAUCAGUCCGUGAUUAUAUGUUAUUCAGAUAAUCUGUCUGUGAUUAUGUGUUAUUCUGAUAAUCUGUCCGUGAUUAUGUGUUAUUCAGAUAAUCUGUCCAUGAUUAUGUGUUAUUCUGAUAAUCUGUCCGUGAUAAUGUGUUAUUCAGAUAAUCUGUCCGUGAUUAUGUGUUAUUCAGAUAAUCUGUCCGUGAUUAUGUGUUAUUCAGAUAAUCUGUCCGUGAUUAUGUGUUAUUCAGAUAAUCUGUCCGUGAUUAUAUGUUAUUCAGAUAAUCUGUCCGUGAUUAUGUUAUUCAGAUAAUCUGUCCGUGAUUAUAUGUUAUUCAGAUAAUCUGUCCAUGAUUAUGUUAUUCAGAUAAUCUGUCGUGAUUAUGUGUUAUUCAGAUAAUCUGUCCGUGAUUAUGUGUUAUUCAGAUAAUCUGUCCGUGAUUAUAUGUUUUCAGAUAAUCUGUCCGUGAUUAUGUUAUUCAGAUAAUCUGUCCGUGAUUAUGUGUCAAUCAGAUAAUCUUUCCGUGAUUAUGUGUUAUUCAGAUAAUCUGUCUGUGGUGGUGUGACUGACCAUUAAGUAACCAGAACUGUGUCAACUUUCAGACAAUACGUUACAUUAACAAGAUACAGAGAGCCAACACGACAAUGUAAUCAUAUGAUAUAACAUGCGAAUAAAGCCGAGAGUGAUGUAAAAUCACCAAUCGAAUCCGUAGUCGCCAGUGACAUAAUGUUUCAACGACAACCAAGAAAAACAUGAGUAUAAAUACACGAGAGGUAUAACUACACCAGAAGUAUAAAUACACGAGAAGUAUAACUACACCAGAAGUAUAAAUACACGAGAGGUAUAACUACACCAGAAGUAUAAAUACACGAGAAGUAUCAAUACACGAGAGGUAUAAAUAUAUGAGAAGUAUAAAUAGAUGAGAUAUAUAAUAUAUGAGAAGUAUAAAUACAUGAGCAGUAUAAAUACAUGAGAUAUAUAAAUAUAUGAGAAGUAUAAAUACAUGAGAAGUAUAAAUACAUGAGCAGUAUAAAUACAUGAGAUAUAUAAAUAUAUGAGAAGUAUAAAUACAUGAGAAGUAUAAAUACACGAGAGGUAUAAAUACACCAGAAGUAUAAAUACACCAGAAGUAUAAAUACAUCAGAAGUAUAAAUACACGAGAAGUAUAACUACAUCAGAAGUAUAUAUACACCAGAAGUAUAAAUACACCAGAAGUAUAAAUACACCAGAAGUAUAACUACAUCAGAAGUAUAAAUACACCAGAAGUAUAAAUACAAGAGAUGUAUAACUACACCAGAAGUAUAAAUACACAAGAAGUAUAAAUACAUGAGAAGUAUAAAUACAUCAGAAGCAUCAAUACAUCAGAAGUAUAAUUACACCAGAAGUAUAAAUACACGAGAAGUAUAAAUACACGAGAGGUAUACAUACAUGAGAAGUAUAAAUACACGAGAGGUACCAAUACAAGAGAAGUAUAAAUACACCAGAAGUAUAAAUAUAUGAGAAGUAUAAAUACACGAGAAGUAUAAAUACAUGAGAAGUAUAAAUACAAGAGAUGUAUAACUACACCAGAAGUAUAAAUACACAAGAAGUAUAAAUACAUGAGAAGUAUAAAUACACGAGAAGUAUAAAUACAUGAGAAGUACAAAUACACCAGAAGUAUAAAUACAUGAGAAGUAUAAAGACAUGAGAAGUAUAAAUACAAGAGAAGUACAAAUACACCAGAAGUAUAAAUACACGAGAUGUAUAAAUACACGUGAAGUAUAAAUACACGAGAAGUAUAAAUACACGAGAAGUAUAAAUACACGAGAAGUAUAAAUACAUAAGAAGUAUAAAGACAUGAGAAGUACAAAUACAUGAGAAGUAUAAAUACAUGAGAUAUAUAAAUAUAUGAGAAGUAUAAAUACAUGAGAAGUAUAAAGACAUGAGAAGUAUAAAUACAUGAGAAGUAUAAAUACAUGAGAAGUAUAAAUACACAAGAAGUAUAAAUAAAUAGUUAACAAUCACCAAAAUUGUUCCCUUUUGGGGCCCCGCCCCUGGGGUUAUAGAAUAAUAAUGAUUGUCCUCACGCUAUGAUGUUUCACACCAAAUUUGGUUGUAAUCCAUCAAAGGGUUAAGAUGGAGUAGGGUUUUUAAGCAAGAAUUCACCAAAGUUCCCUUUUUCGGGCCCCGCCCCUCGGGCCUCAGGGGGUCUGACCAGCCUCUUUUAUAUAAAAUAUUAUUGCCCGCCCGCAAUGAUGCUUCAAACCAUAUGGCCUAAGACUGAAUGUCCUGUUAUCUAGAUCAAUAAAUGCCGAACAAUCUGA